UUCAAUAAAUAGAAAGUAAUAAAUAAAUAAAUGUCAGAGUUUUCACAAAACAAACAAAAAAUUACAUUAAAACUAAGAACCUCUUUUUUGAACUUGAUUAAAAAUGACAAAACGUCUAAAUUCAUAAAUUUUAUUUUAGGAAUAUAUAUAUAACCGGGUAAGACUAGCGGUGUUAUAAUAUAAAUGAAGAAUUUACAUAAAAUGAGAUUGCAAAUGAAAAAUUGUAAUGCUGAAAUCAUAGGUUCCAUGAUUGUUUAACGUUUUCAGAAUAAACCGAACCCAUAACCCGAGGAUAAGCAAGAGUGGCGCAGGAUAAUCCAGGAGAAAGUUAUUAGAGGAGGCCACGACCCUUAUCAUUGAGGCUUAUCGACGCAAGAAGAAGAAUAAUAAAUUUUAAGUAGAUUGUAAAUCUCCUUUUAUAAAACAAUUUUGUUUAAACAUACAUACAUUGUUAAAAUUUUCAUCCAGCAUAAGUUCAUUUAAAAGAGUCUCUGAUGGAUUCAAUACAUAAGUAUUUAUUGUGUU